rnacentral:rRNA from 1 species
UUUAUGGAGAGUUUGAUCCUGGCUCAGGAUGAACGCUGGCGGCGUGCCUAAUACAUGCAAGUCGAGCGAACGGACGAGAAGCUUGCUUCUCUGAUGUUAGCGGCGGACGGGUGAGUAACACGUGGAUAACCUACCUAUAAGACUGGGAUAACUUCGGGAAACCGGAGCUAAUACCGGAUAAUAUUUUGAACCGCAUGGUUCAAAAGUGAAAGACGGUCUUGCUGUCACUUAUAGAUGGAUCCGCGCUGCAUUAGCUAGUUGGUAAGGUAACGGCUUACCAAGACAACGAUGCAUAGCCGACCUGAGAGGGUGAUCGGCCACACUGGAACUGAGACACGGUCCAGACUCCUACGGGAGGCAGCAGUAGGGAAUCUUCCGCAAUGGGCGAAAGCCUGACGGAGCAACGCCGCGUGAGUGAUGAAGGUCUUCGGAUCGUAAAACUCUGUUAUUAGGGAAGAACAUAUGUGUAAGUAACUGUGC